GCGGAGGUAGCUCAAAACUAGAGCAUCGGUCUUGUAAAUCGAAGGUUGGGUCAAGUAAGGCCCCUUCCGCU
rnacentral:tRNA from 1 species